rnacentral:lncRNA from 1 species
CCACAAUUCAUUCCAAUUUCCCCCAAUUCAUUUUAUGCAAGAACCGUAGUGGGCCAAAGCUCCCACCCCAUCCGACGCCACUCAUCAGCACCACCGGCCGAUGCACUCACCGACACCACCGACCAACGCACUCACCUCCACUGACCAUUGUUAUGCCUGAAAUCGAAACCCUUGGAAAAAUCUCUGGCGUCGCACACGAAACCGAUUUCUGAGUUUCCGGAACUCUGACUUCCAUCCUCGAAGCUGCACUCACAUCCCUUCAUAGUCAUAGUGGACGACAGGUUAGUAUGAGAAAUUUGUCUACUUUUGUAUGAGAAAUUUGAGAUUGGACAAUAGGUUAGCCUAGCAAAAAUUAAUUGAAAUUUGUUGCACUGCUUUUAUACAUGGAUUGGUUAUACUUGUUUAAGUUAACACUGCAAAAAUGGUUGACGUGGGAUCUUGUAAUUUAAUCGCAUUAAUAUGAGUUUAUUUCUCUAUUCAGCAGUUAUCGAUUAGAAUGAGGGGAAGAAAUUUUGGAGUUUGUCACGAUUGUAGAACACUCACAACUUUGGACAAUACCAAACAAAACGUGGAUGCCCUUGGUAUAAAGAUGGAUUUCGACUAUGUUUUGAGGUCGAACGGGAUACUAGAAACAAAUGGUGCUUGUUCUUCAGGUGUAGUAAUGAUUGUUAUUUCGACUGGGUUGAAAAAGAAGAUUCAAGCGGGGAAUCAGUUGCCUACUAUGAUGUCAAGUUGUAUUUGCUAAAUGUAUCAUUGUAAUGUACUAACUGUUUGGACAUGGAUUUGUCAUUCUGGUUUAUCUUGUAGUAGUAUUUGCAAAAUGUCAAUUAUGCAACAUGAGUGUAUGCAUGUUAGUUAUUCAAUUAAGAACAUAUAUUCCUGUGAUAGUGUUGGUUUAAUUCAAUUAAGCCUACUAUGAGUGUAUGGUUUAAUUCCUG